GCCGGGCGUGCGAGCCUGAGGUGUGAGUGGGCCUGGGCUGCGGCGGGAGCGCCCUGCGGACCGACAGGAGAAAGUACCAGGUUUAGGCUAGGAACUUGGGAGAGGGCCGGGGUGUGGCUAAUGAAAACAGAACCAACCCCACGUAACCGGAGCUCAGGGACACGUUGUCUCCGAGUUCUUUUCCCAGUCAGUUGCUUCCUCGAUGUUCCUUUUACGUAGGAUUGUUGCUAAUGUGUGGCCUUUUAGAAGGGGCUACUUGAAGGUCUCCCCUGAAAAAUUCCCCAUGUUUUUACGUUCAGGGAACACAGUCUCAAGCUUGGGCGCUUGACGGGUGAAAAGUGAGAAACAGAUUUUAGGAGCCUGUUUAUCCUUCUUAGUUCUGCCUGGAACAUUUACCCCUUUGGGCUUCCGUUUCAAGUAGCGUUUAGAUUAAGAAAUGCAAACAUUGUCAGAUUAUAUACAAAGAUCAGACUUCUCUUUUUGCUGUUUUGAGUAACAGCCGCAAUAUCCCAUCUUGGCUUACAUUUUCAAAUGUGUGAUUUGGACGAUAGUGUGUUAAUAGUUUUAAACACAUUGCAAUAAAAGAGAAGACUGGAAAAGAACACUUCAACCCGAAAAACUGAAAUUUUGGAGAUUGAACCUAGGGCCUCCUCCAUGGUAGGCAAGUGCUGUGCCCCUGAGGCACACCACAAGACAGGGCCACUAAGUUGUCCAGGCUGGCCUCCACCUUGCCAUCCUCUUACCUAGCAUGCCAAGCAGCUGGAAUUACAGGAUUAACUCAGCUGACUUGGGAUGCUCAAACCUUGCAAGUUCUGAAAAAAGAAGUCGCCCUAGACUGACUCCCAGGAGAUGGAGAAACUGAAGAACAGAGUUUUAAGUAACUUGUCCAAGUCACCACAGCUAGUAAUUGGCAUUCACCUUGGCAGUCUGACCCAAGAAGUUGUGUCUUGAAGCAAUACUCUCUAUGCCUCAGACCAGUCCUGAAGAGAAAAAAAUAAAUGCCAAUGAAGACUGCAAAAUAGUAAAAUCACAUGAAGGAAGGCAGUAAGAACCAAAUCUCACUGGGAUCCUCCUAGAAGAAAAUUUCACCUAAAGGAGAAAUGUUGAUGAUGUAAAUGGCAUAUUCUGAAGUCCUUGGAUUGUGAUGUGAUUGUCUGAAGCUAACACCUAGGGCAUCAAAGACUUAGCCAGGGGCUCCACUCCUGGGGCAUGGACAGAAACAAGACAUGUGGGCCACCUACUUAAAGCAUUAUAUGAGGCUAUCAGCACUGGAUUACAAACAAAGGAUCAAGAGUAACCCCUUAGUUGUUCUGGCUGCUGCAACACAGUACCAUUAAGUAGGUGGCUUAAAUAACAUUAUUUCUCACUGCUCCACAAGCUAGAAGUUCAAGAUUAGAGUGCAAGCAUGGUUGGGUUUUGGGUCAGGGCCCUCUACCCUACUUACAGAGAGCUUUCUUCUUAUAUCCUCACAUGGGGCUGGGGUAUGGGGAGAAGAAGGAAGAGAGAAAACAGGAAGUGAAAGAGAGUUCUCCUGUCUUCUUAUAAGGGCAAUAAUCCCAUCCUGAGCUCCACCUUCAUGAACUGUUACUUCCCAAAGGCCUCAUCUCCAAACACCAUCACAUGAGUGAGUAAGGCUUCAUUGUAUAAAUUUUGGGGAACACAAGUAUUUAGCCCAUAGCAGGUGACUUUAAAUUAAUUUUUAUCUGGCCUCUAGCCAAGCUCUAAAACACCUAAUACAAUGCAUGUAAGAUGAAUAGGUCUUUCUUGGGGAAAUAUGUAAUCUACCCUUCUCCUUCCCCUCCAAAUAUAUGUAUCAGUUUCUCACCACCAUAUAAUAAAG
ensembl:lncRNA